GUGGGGAAUUUUGGACAAUGGGCGCAAGCCUGAUCCAGCAAUGCCGCGUGCAGUAAGAAGGCCUUCGGGUUGUAAACUGCUUUUGUACGGAACGAAACGGUCCUGGUUAAUACCUGGGGCUAAUGACGGUACCGUAAGAAUAAGCACCGGCUAACUACGUGCCAGCAGCCGCGGUAAUACGUAGGGUGCAAGCGUUAAUCGGAAUUACUGGGCGUAAAGCGUGCGCAGGCGGUUUUGUAAGACAGGCGUGAAAUCCCCGGGCUCAACCUGGGAAUUGCGCUUGUGACUGCAAGGCUGGAGUGCGGCAGAGGGGGAUGGAAUUCCGCGUGUAGCAGUGAAAUGCGUAGAUAUGCGGAGGAACACCGAUGGCGAAGGCAAUCCCCUGGGCCUGCACUGACGCUCAUGCACGAAAGCGUGGGGAGCAAACAGGAUUAGAAACCCGUGUAGUCC
rnacentral:rRNA from 1 species